AGAUGGGGUAUCCCUACAUGGCGG
rnacentral:siRNA from 1 species